AGUUGACAGACAUCGGCGUAAAGAGUGGUUAAUAGACCCACCACUAAGGCUAAACAUCUUCAUGACUGUUAUACGUACCCGAAGACAGGAGAACCUACCACGAAAGUGGCCUUAACCUAUUUGAACCCACUAAAGCUAGGAAACAAACUGGGAUUAGAUACCCCACUAUGCCUAGCCAUAAACAUAGGCAGUAUAUUACAAUGCUGCCCGCCAGGGAACAACGAGCCCCAGCUUAAAACCCAAAGGACUUGGCGGUGCUUUAGACCCCCCUAGAGGAGCCUGUUCUAGAACCGAUACUCCCCGUUCAACCUCACCUUCUCUUGUUUUUCCCGCCUAUAUACCGCCGUCGUCAGCUUACCCUGUGAAGGUCUAACAGUAAGCAGAAUUGGCACAGCCCAAAACGUCAGGUCGAGGUGUAGCGAACGAGAAGGGAAGAAAUGGGCUACAUUUACUGAACCAGUAUACACGGACACUGUACUGAAAAAACAUUUGAAGGAGGAUUUAGCAGUAAGGGAAGAAUAGAGCGCUUCCCUGAAAACGGCCCUGAAGCGCGUACACACCGCCCGUCACUCUCCCCGAAAAGACAAAACUAUGUAACUAAACAACCAUAAAAA
rnacentral:rRNA from 1 species